CGUCAGCAGUCCGGUACGGAU
rnacentral:snRNA from 1 species